AGUGAACGCUGGCGGUAGGCCUAGCACAUGCAAGUCGAACGGCAGCACAGUAAGAGCUUGCUCUUACGGGUGGCGAGUGGCGGACGGGUGAGGAAUACAUCGGAAUCUACUUUUUCGUGGGGGAUAACGUAGGGAAACUUACGCUAAUACCGCAUACGACCUACGGGUGAAAGCAGGGGAUCUUCGGACCUUGCGCGAUUGAAUGAGCCGAUGUCGGAUUAGCUAGUUGGCGGGGUAAAGGCCCACCAAGGCGACGAUCCGUAGCUGGUCUGAGAGGAUGAUCAGCCACACUGGAACUGAGACACGGUCCAGACUCCUACGGGAGGCAGCAGUGGGGAAUAUUGGACAAUGGGCGCAAGCCUGAUCCAGCCAUACCGCGUGGGUGAAGAGGGCCUUCGGGUUGUAAAGCCCUUUUGUUGGGAAAGAAAAGCAGCAGGUUAAUACCCCGCUGUUCUGACGGUACCCAAAGAAGAAGCACCGGCGAACUUCGU
rnacentral:rRNA from 1 species